ensembl:snRNA U6 U6 spliceosomal RNA
GUGCUCACUUCAGCAGCACAUAUGUUAAGAUUAGAAUACUAAAAAUAUUGGCAUGGGCCCUCCCCAAGGAUGACUUACAAAUUGGUGAAACAUUCCAUGUUAAA